rnacentral:rRNA from 1 species
GUGAGGAAUAUUGGUCAAUGGGCGCAAGCCUGAACCAGCCAUCCCGCGUGCAGGAAGACGGCGCUAUGCGUUGUAAACUGCUUUUCCAGGGAGAGAAACUUGCGCACGUGUUGCGCAAUUGACGGUACCCUGGGAAUAAGCAUCGGCUAACUCCGUGCCAGCAGCCGCGGUAAUACGGAGGAUGCGAGCGUUAUCCGGAUUCAUUGGGUUUAAAGGGUGCGUAGGCGGACUAUUAAGUCAGUGGUGAAAUCCUGCAGCUUAACUGCAGAACUGCCAUUGAUACUGAUAGCCUUGAGUUUGGUUAAGGUAGGCGGAAUGUGUAAUGUAGCGGUGAAAUGCUUAGAUAUUACACAGAACACCAAUUGCGUAGGCAGCUUACUGAGCCGACACUGACGCUGAGGCACGAAAGCGUGGGGAUCGAACAGGAUUAGAUACCCCGGUAGUCC